CUGGUUGGAGAGUUUCGGGGGCAAGGAUGGGAGAGCUGGGUUGCUUCUUCGAUGUUCAUCUGGAGGCUUCGACUUCCAUUUCCCUAAGAACAACUUUAUGUUUCUUUUCCUUCCGAACCCAUCAAAGCCUCCUCCUCCUUCAAAACCCUUCCAAAUUCCCAAACCCCCUCCAUUGCCAUCUCCACUGCAAAUUUCUUCGAUAACCAGAUCCAGCGGCUGAGGCAAUAUCUUGAGGUUAGACACGAUGACGGGCAUCAAUUGGCGCAACAAUCUUGGUUCUUGGGUAAUCCCUAAGGCUAUAUAAGAGCUGAGGUAUUUAUAUAUCACAACAUAUUGAUAGCUGUUGUGAUCCUGCUUUUGUGUGGCUGUUUUUCAAAGUGCUUGAUAGCUUCUUUGACUACAGUUAUCAAUCUGUUGCUUGGGGUUUUAAAUUUCUGUGCAUAAUGCGUAAAAGGAGAUAGCAAACGAAAUCAGAUGAUGCAAGAAGCUCAUAGUUUUGCCAUUUCAAAUGAGUUAAAACCUCUUGAAUGGAGAAGAAGGAACAUCAGCCAGCUACACAACAAAUGCAACAACAGCUAUCCCUUGCAAAAAACAUCAAAAAAGAAAAAUCCAUGUCCACCACCCAUUAAAAUAUAGAUAUACGCCUGUAGAAGAACAAUACUUUGCUCAAGGUUACUCAUAUU